AGUGAACGCUGGCGGUAGGCCUAACACAUGCAAGUCGAACGGCAGCACAGUAAGAGCUUGCUCUUACGGGUGGCGAGUGGCGGACGGGUGAGGAAUACAUCGGAAUCUACUUUUUCGUGGGGGAUAACGUAGGGAAACUUACGCUAAUACCGCAUACGACCUACGGGUGAAAGCAGGGGAUCUUCGGACCUUGCGCGAUUGAAUGAGCCGAUGUCGGAUUAGCUAGUUGGCGGGGUAAAGGCCCACCAAGACGACGAUCCGUAGCUGGUCUGAGAGGAUGAUCAGCCACACUGGAACUGAGACACGGUCCAGACUCCUACGGGAGGCAGCGGUGGGGAAUAUUGGACAAUGGGCGCAAGCCUGAUCCAGCCAUACCGCGUGGGUGAAGAAGGCCUUCGGGUUGUAAAGCCCUUUUGUUGGGAAAGAAAAGCAGCAGGUUAAUACCCCGCUGUUCUGACGGUACCCAAAGAAUAAGCACCGGCUAACUUCGUG
rnacentral:rRNA from 1 species